rnacentral:lncRNA from 1 species
GGCAUAUGAAGGUUCCCAGGCCAGGGGUCAAAUCAGAGCUGUAGCUGCCGGCCUACACCACAGCCACAGCAACUCAGGAUCCGAGUUGUGUCAUCAACCUACACCACAGCUCACAGCAACACUGGAUUCUCAACCCACUGAGCGAGGCCUGGGAUCAAAUCCACAUCCUCGUUUAUACUAGUCAGGUUCCUUAACCACUGAGCCGUGACAGGAACUCCAGAUCACAGUUUUCUUUUUUUUUGUCUUUUUGCCAUUUCUUGGGCCGCUUCCAUGGCAAAUGGAGGUUCCCAGGCUAGGGGUCUAAUUGGAGCUGUAGCUGCCAGCCUAUGCCAGAACCGCAGCAACGCAGGAUCCGAGCCGCGUCUGCAACCUACACCACAGCUCACGGCAACGCCGGAUCGUUAACCCACUGAGCAAGGGCAGGGAUCGAACCCGCAACCUCAUGGUUCCUAGUCGGAUUCGUUAACCACUGCGCCAUGACGGGAACUCCCCAGAUCACAGUUUUCAAAUGACAUUACUGCCAAAGCAGUUUUAGAGCGAGUCUGAAAAGAAAUUUAUUAAAACAUUGGAAAUAGUGUGUUUAAGAUCCGGGCUAUAAGCGGCUUAUUAGAUCUUUAAGUAAAGAGGGAAAUCACCUUUGUCUAACAUUUCAGAAGGGAUUCCAUGACACUUAGGGGAAGAGAGGAGAGUUCCAGGGCAGAGGGAAGAGGCUGUAAAAUUUAAGGAGGCAUAGUUACAUGACCAGCUUUGCACAGAGACCUAAUUAUAAAGUAUGUCCUACUUAUGGCAUCAUUUGAUACAGAAAAACUUUGCAACGUGUUAAACUUCCUAUCCCUGUUCUUCAGAUAAGAAGGCAGACCUUGAGAAAACCUAGGGAGUAUAGAAGAGGGAGCCUUGCUCAGAACAAAAAGCGAAUUAACACGGAGCCAGGACCAACAUCUGCUUUGAUACAAAGUCUUGAUUUUUCCCAGCGCUAACUCCUGCUGUGCUCUUUCUUAAAGAAGCCGUCCCCAGCUGCCCCCUCACAAGAUCUGGAUACCCAAGAUGCCACCUCGUUUCCCUGCAGAAGCCACCUCCCUGCAGGCACAGUGGCUCUGUCCCCUAUGGCCAAGGUCAAUGGCUGACCUUGAGCUCAGAGAUGCUACACAGCUGGGAGCAGAGUAAAUUGAAAGCAGAGCUGAAUCCUGACGAAGGAGAUGCCAACUGGCUUCCUGAUUGAUAUUGUCUAGGGUGGCUUUCACCUACAAAGAUGAAUUGCCAAACCGCAUCAUUUUUAUCAGUCAUAUGUACACUUUCAAGUGAAAAAUCCCACAUCUGCGUCAACCCCACCCUUGGAUUUUGCCUCCAGGUGGGCAAAAACGCAUCCUUUGGAUGGAGGAACAAAUCUGUGGCAUUUAAUGAGACCCACUAAAGUCACAGCCCCAGCCCAGAGUCCAGGGAAAGAGCAGCAGAAGAAAGGCAUUGUUGCAGAUCUUAUUUGAAAUGAGGGACAUACGUCCUGGGGUCAGAAGAGCAAGAGCCCUGGAUUUAAAGAGCUUAACUAGAGCCACAAACCAGGGGGCUGCCCUGGGCUCAACUCUCCCCUCCAAGGCUCCCUCCUUGCCAGGGAGUUGCACCAGGGCUUACAGGAGACAAUUUACAAAAACAGAAAACAAACAAAAAACACGGUUUGGGCUGAAACCAUGAGCAUAUGCGUAUUCUUCCCACUAGAGCCUGUUUCCCCAAAUUAAGUAUUGGUAUGCAUUUGUGCAGACACCACUGCCAAGGCGCAGGUGAAGGGGCAAAUUCGGAGACACACAAAAAGGAAAGCUGCCCCCAUUAUGGCAUUUCUCCACUGCAGCUCUGAUGGGCGAGCCAGAGGCUAAGGCAACAACUAUCGUACACAUAUGGCACAGGCUGCUUCUGGGAUGACAGUAAACUUCUUUCAGUUUGAAAGCACAAGUGGAAACAGGUGUGCAGGAAGCAGAGCUUUUACGAGAACUUAAAAUGUGUGUGUGUGUGUGUGUGUGUGUGUGUGUGUGUGUGUGUGUGUGUGUGUGUGUGUGUGUGAACACAAGUGUAUUUAUUUUUUUAUUUUAUAAUUUAGAAGUAUUCUUUUAUAGAAGUAUUCUUUCUCCUUGCUGUGUUGAGAGGCAAGCUCACCUAUUGGGGGACAAACAGGACUCUAUGGAAAAUCAACCUUGAAAUCAGAAAAUAUAGGAAACUGUCCAUAAUAUAUAGCAACUCUUUCUAAGUAAUGCUCAAUGAGAAGGAGAAAGAUGAA